AAUGGGUCUCGCCCAGAUCCACGCUGCAGUUCUGGAUGCGUAUAACACGUCACCGCAGGCGAUGCUGUCGUCGAUCAAGGACCCAGCUGAAUGGGCUCGCCAGCGCUUGCCCCAGGUUGAGAUACCACGGGGCUCGUUCGGAUGCUCCCGCCACCUAUUCGGUGUCUCGCGCUGCCCCGGAUGCUAGGGCGUGCGCCCCAUCUUUGCUGUACUGGCUCGGUGAAUGGCCUCGAGGACCGGUGCCAAGUCCGUGGAUCGAACGCUCGUGCUUGGAAGCGGUUGCACUGCAGGCACCGAGCGUUUCUCUGUGGUACACGACGAAUCCUUUCGCGUAAAGUGCAGCGGAUCGAGUCGAGCCAAACUGGCAUAAAACUCAGCGUCACAACUAGGAUCUCCGGACGAGUCGCUCGCCAACAAUGAUGGCUUCUUUUGCGGACGCUCGAGUUCGGCGUUCUGGUCAAGCGAGCAACCGUCACUCGAGCCAGAGUGCAGGAACGCGGACGCUGCGUUCAAUGGGUGGCCUUUGGCGGACGCACGCGUCGAAGCUCGAUGAUCCCGCGAAGGUCGCGAUAACGAACCAUCAUUGGUAUCCGAUUCCAAGAUCUCCGACAGGACGCGUUUGACAGACGCUUGUUUUCGCCGAGUUGAGAGCCAGAGCUGCGGGUAAUCGAGCCAAAGCCGUACUUGAAAUAAACGGAUACAGCGCGCUCCAUGGUGCGUUCCUGCGAGCAUUGUCAGCGCCGGUGCUAGCUGCUCCGUCACCUUUCGCUGCCAUACGAGGUCCUGUUGCAUAAAACGAGCAGCCUUUUCCAAAAAUCGAGACCCUGAAGCGGAGUUCGCCAACUCGAGAACACGCGGUAUACACCGGUAGAGCUGCGCGCGCGUUUGGAUUCGUUCCGCUUGUCGGGCAUCCACGGCGUCCAAGUAAGCAAGCAACGCGUGGCAGGCAACCAUGUCCUUUGCAAUGGUUAGCAGCUCUGGCAAAUCCAGUUGCGUGAACGCGUGCAGCACAGCGCUCGAAUGAUGCACAAGCAGCUGUAGCAGGAGGGAUCCAUUCACAGACCCGCGUGCCGCUGCGCGCUCUGAUGCCUCGACGGCUGCUGGGGACGUAGCAACAGCGCGAGUACGCUUCUGGGUACCCGUGGGCUCGUAUUCAUCGUCAUUUGGGAACAACGUCUGCAUAAUGCAUCGUACGUUGUGCUGCGUCGCCUUUUGCGUAUCCACAGCGCCAACGCCAACCCACUGCUCCGCAGCGGCAAUCGUACACUGGACGAGAUGCGUCAAAGCAGCAUCGCUCGCGACGCUGGCGCGAAGCACGGCUCUGAGGACGGCACAAAGGACCCCACUUCGAUCAUGCCGCGGUUCGGGAUGGGUUGCGCGCUUGCUUGCCUCGAGAUGCUCGAGGAGCGCAUCAUCCACCAGCAUGCGCUGCACGAGUCCCAAAUUGGCGCUGUAGAGCAGACCCUGGACGCAGUAGUUCGCUCGGGGAUGCAGAUACAGGCGUCGCAGGCGUUCCGCUCCGGACAUGUGCUUUGCAUAAAAUGCCUCCAAAAGGUUUCUGAUAUCUGGUGAGGAACCUCGCUCGGUCGAGUUCGACCAUGCGCACGCACACCGGAGGGUUAGCUCCAAAAGACGACUCGCUGCGGGGCCAGUUAGCAAAUCCUCCCGGGCUGCCCCGAGGAACAAAGCGAUCAGCUGGUACCCGUAGUGGCGCCGCACACGCGAUCCACUCGUCUCGGUACCAUUCGUUUCAUCGCCAUCAUCGGAGGCGUCACAGUGAUGACGAUGAACCUGCACGGUUGCCAGAAGGAGCGUCUGCAGUGUCGCAGACGCCGGUGCAUAGCGCAUGAGACGUCGAAGCGCUUGCACUGAUAAACCUGUAAGAGAUGGGAUAAUUUUGUUCACGAGGAGAGCUGGGCACACGGGUGCUGUCGGCACCGGCUGGUCUCCGCUCAGAAACUGCUCCAGGGCAUGCGUUUGCCAGUUCUGUGCAGGGCCAAAACGUCGCGCCGGAAGGGCGCUGAUAACCAGGAGGAACGCUCGCAAAACAUGGGUACCACUCGGGUGCACCAUGGUCGUGAACCAACAACCCGCUCGAUCCAGGGGCGUAUGCUCAGGCUCGUCAUCGACGACGGGGGCAAACCACCAGUUGCUUAGCGACUCCAGGGCAUCUGCAACGGCUCGCGCUGCAUGCACCAGCCGCUGAAGUUGCCCGUCAUCUGAGGUGUGCUCCUUCGGGUGCACCAGAGCUCCAGUAAUGGCCUGGUGAAGGUCCGGCUCUGUGAGGCGCCAUAGCAGCUUCUGCAGCACAUGACUCCCGAUCGGGUCACACAGAAGGAGUUUCAUCCACGUAGUCUCCGAGCUCGCACGCAUAAGUGCCGCUCUGCAGGGGCCAGCCAUCAGAGCAGACACAGCUUCUGCAGCCCUGCUUGUUAGCGCUUCCAUGGUACCACUCUGCGGCGCGAGCAGCAGUCCGAGCAGUUGUUCCAUGAGGCGUGCGUUCACUACGUCGCGUAACACCAGAAGCUGUUUUCCACUGAGUUCCUGAAACAAGUUCGCACAAAGCGUAUCGAUUUCAGCGUCUAUUUCCAGGGCUUCGUUGUCCGUGACGCAAUGAGGUCGACGAUCCCGCAGCUCUAGGAGCUGUUUCGUGAGCAGCUCCAGGUACGGUUGGAGCGCCACGCUGGCGGGGUUCCGCCGAUGACUCGCCGGUCGCUUCGCCAUUUCCCAGAACUCGCUCCUAGAGAGUGAACUUGUUACAAGUUCGCUUUCGGAUGGAUAGAAAAACCCGCGUCCUAGCAAUCACCUGCUAAACGCAAGCACC